rnacentral:rRNA from 1 species
CAAUAGCGUAUAUUAAAGUUGUUGCGGUUAAAAAGCUCGUAGUUGGAUCUCGGCAGGCAGGGGGUGAUUCGCUCUUAGCGCUACUGCCCCAUUUGCCUGUGUGAUUGGCGGAGGUUUCGGGGUGCUCUUCGUUGAGUGACCCGGGGCGCCGUCAGGUCUACUUUGAAAAAAUUAGAGUGCUCAAAGCAGGCUUUUCACGCUUGAAUAUUCGUGCAUGGAAUAAUGGAAUAGGAACUCGUUUCUAUUUUGUUGGUUCUCGGAAAUCGAGUUAAUGAUUAAUAGGGACAAUUGGGGGCAUUAGUAUUCAGACGACAGAGGUGAAAUUCUUGGACCGUCUGAAGACUAACUACUGCGAAAGCAUUUGCCAAGAGUGUUUUCAUUAA